GACGAACGCUGGCGGCGUGCUUAACACAUGCAAGUCGAACGGAAAGGCCCUGCUUUUGUGGGGUGCUCGAGUGGCGAACGGGUGAGUAACACGUGAGUAACCUGCCCUUGACUUUGGGAUAACUUCAGGAAACUGGGGCUAAUACCGGAUAGGAGCUCCUGCUGCAUGGUGGGGGUUGGAAAGUUUCGGCGGUUGGGGAUGGACUCGCGGCUUAUCAGCUUGUUGGUGGGGUAGUGGCUUACCAAGGGUUUGACGGGUAGCCGGCCUGAGAGGGUGACCGGCCACAUUGGGACUGAGAUACGGACCAGACUCCUACGGGAGGCAGCAGGGGGGAAUAUUGCGCAAUGGGCGGAAGCCUGAUGCAGCAACGCCGCGUGCGGGAUGCCGGCCUUCGGGUUGUAAACCGCUUUCGCAUGUGACGAAGCGUGCGUGACGGUAAUGGGUAAAGAAGCACCGGCUAACUACGUG
rnacentral:rRNA from 1 species